CAUGCACACCUCCACACAUGGAGGCACGUAAGGCUUCCCCAGACAUCAAAUAACUCUAAUGAUGGUUUGAUGAGUUAAGGAGCCAGAAGAGUUUGGAAGAAGAUUCAAUUGCCGUGGAUUGGAGCACUAAGGAAAGUUUUCACUGAGAGGAAGUGAAAUAGGCCUUAAAGAUUGCCAGGGUUUAGAGAAAUGGAAAGAAAAUGAAAGACUGUUUGGGGCAGCAAAUAUCUUUAUAAAUAUCCUUCUGUAAAACAAAGGAUGGAGAUAAAUCUAAGGAUUUCUUGGCAAUCUGGCACUUCAGAAUAAAGAUGGAGAAGACACAUUUGCACAGUUAUGUACUGGAAAUGUAAUUGUAAAGCAGUCAGGAAGAUGAGCCCCAGAAAAGGAUCGACCUUGGUGAAGGAGAGAGACGAUGAGAAAAACAAGGGGAAUAGAAGAUGGGAAGAGAUGAUACAAAAAGUCCAAGGGGGGAAGAGAUUUUCCUGCUGUUCACAGAAUUGUCACACACAGCCCUAGAUGGAUCUGAAUCCCCUCCUCUCUGUGGUUCCAGAUUGGUUAGGAAUAUGCCAAUGUAACCCCCAACUAAGGACAAUUUAUUCUUUGUGUCUGCUUUUUAAGUAAAAGAAACAUGUGUUAGAAGUCUCCCAGAUUUCCCCUCUAGUCUUACUCCUUAGAAUUGGGUUGCUUGUUACUUCCUAAUCAGAUAACUGGCCAAGGGAAGGAGAUUGCUUGGAC
rnacentral:lncRNA from 12 species